rnacentral:rRNA from 1 species
UACGUAGGGGGCAAGCGUUGUCCGGAAUCAUUGGGCGUAAAGCGCGUGUAGGCGGGUUGUCAAGUCCGCUGUGAAAGCCCGAGGCUCAACCUCGGAGGGUCGGUGGAUACUGACAGUCUUGAAGGUGCUAGGGGGAGAUGGAAUUACCGGUGUAGCGGUGAAAUGCGUAGAGAUCGGUAGGAACACCAGUGGCGAAGGCGGGUCUCUGGACAGUUCCUGACGCUGAGGCACGAAGGUCAGGGGAGCAAACGGG